rnacentral:rRNA from 1 species
AGGGAAGAAGGUGCUAAGCAUUGUAAACCUCUUUUGCCGGGGAACAAAAGAUCCCACGCGUGGGAUUAUGAGUGUACCCGGAGAAAAAGCAUCGGCUAACUCCGUGCC